UUGAACGCUGGCGGCAGGCCUAACCCAUGCAAGUCGAACGGUAACAGGAAGCAGCUUGCUGCUUCGCUGACGAGUGGCGGCCGGGUGAGUAAUGUCUGGGAAACUGCCUGAUGGAGGGGGAUAACUACUGGAAACGGUAGCUAAUACCGCAUAACGUCGCAAGACCAAAGAGGGGGACCUUAGGGCCUCUUGCCAUCGGAUGUGCCCAGAUGGGAUUAGCUAGUAGGUGGGGUAACGGCUCACCUAGGCGACGAUCCCUAGCUGGUCUGAGAGGAUGACCAGCCACACUGGAACUGAGACACGGUCCAGACUCCUACGGGAGGCAGCAGUGGGGAAUAUUGCACAAUGGGCGCAAGCCUGAUGCAGCCAUGCCGCGUGUAUGAAGAAGGCCUUCGGGUUGUAAAGUACUUUCAGCGGGGAGGAAGGGAGUAAAGUUAAUACCUUGGCUCAUUGACGUUACCCGCAGAAGAAGCACCGGCUAACUCCGUG
rnacentral:rRNA from 1 species